GGAACUCCAAUCAGUGGAUAUUGUUGGACGAGGUAGAUGGCUUGCUAAUGAAAGAAAAGAACUGAAGAGUGUUUCGAGGGACUUCUACAGAUUGAAAGACACAAUUUGUGCAAUUGAUUUACCUGAAAAUGUCUCCUUUCCUGAUUUAGAUUCUCGCUUGGCUUGGCUUAAGGAGUCCUUCUACCAUGCUAAAGAUGACAUAAGUAUGUUGCAAAAUGAAAUUUCCAGAACAAAGGAAGCUGCACGUGAUGAGGUAAAUCACUUGAGUGCUUCACUUUCUACUGUACAACAAGAGAAGCGUUACAUCAAAGAAGAGUUAGAUCACCUCAGAAACGAAUAUGAGGAAAUUGUUGGCAAGGCGCAUCAAAUAUCAUUGGACAAGGAUCAUUUAAGUGCUUCACUGGAAGCAGAACUAGUAGAGAAGGAUUAUAUUAAAAAGGAGUUGGACAACCUCUCAACUGAAUAUGAAAAUGUAGUUGAGAAGAUCCAUCAACUUUCAUCAGAGAAAAAUCAGAUGAUCAGCAUGCUUGUAGAGGCUUCUGGAAUGAUGUUGGCGGAUCAAGAAGGGGUUGAAGAAGCUUCUUAUCUACCCAUGCUAAUAGAUAGGUGCUUUAGAAAGAUAAAAGAUCAACCAAAUGCAUCUUCAGAGACUACUUUCAUAGAAGCACGACAAUUUGAAAAGCUUCAAAGUCUGUUCUAUGUUAGGGAUCUGGAGUUGACACUUUGUGAGGAAGUACUAGAAGAAGAUUUGCUGGUGAGAUCACAGCUAAAUGGUCUCUCGAAUCAGUUGACAGUAACUUCUGAGGAACUUUUUGCACUGAAGGAGGAGAAAGAUGUUCUGCAAAAAGCUCUUGAGCAAUCAGAGGAGAAGUCUAGUCUGCUGAGGGAGAAGUUAUCGAUGGCAGUUAAGAAAGGAAAGGGCUUGGUUCAAGAUCGGGAAAACUUGAAACUUCUUCUUGAGGAAAAGAACUCAGAAAUUGAGAAGCUGAGGCUUGAGUUACAACAUGAAGAAUCUACAGUUGCUAACUGCAGGGAUCAGAUCAGCACUUUGUCAACUGAUUUAGAGCGCAUCCCAAUGUUGGAGAGUGACCUGGCAGCUAUGAAAGAGGCAUUUGACCACAUCCUAUCCCAGAUUGACGUACCUAAGGAACUCCAGUCAAUGGAUAUUGUUGGACGAGCUGGAUGGCUUGCUAAAGAAAGAAAAGAGCUGGGGAAUGUUUCGAUGGACUUCUACAGAUUGAAAGACACAAUUUGUGCAAUUGAUUUACCUGAAAAUGUCUCCUUUCCUGAUUUAGAUUCUCGCUUGGCUUGGCUUAAGGAGUCCUUUUUCCGGGCUAAGGAUGACAUAAAUAGGUUGCAAAAUGAAAUUUCCAGAAUAAAAGAAGCUGCACGUGAUGAGAU
rnacentral:lncRNA from 1 species